GACGAACGCUGGCGGCGUGCUUAACACAUGCAAGUCGAACGGAAAGGCCCUGCUUUUGUGGGGUGCUCGAGUGGCGAACGGGUGAGUAACACGUGAGUAACCUGCCCUUGACUUUGGGAUAACUUCAGGAAACUGGGGCUAAUACCGGAUAGGAGCUCCUGCUGCAUGGUGGGGGUUGGAAAGUUUCGGCGGUUGGGGAUGGACUCGCCGCUUAUCAGCUUGUUGGUGGGGUAGUGGCUUACCAAGGCUUUGACGGGUAGCCGGCCUGAGAGGGUGACCGGCCACAUUGGGACUGAGAUACGGCCAGACUCCUACGGGAGGCAGCAGUGGGGAAUAUUGCACAAUGGGCGGAAGCCUGAUGCAGCAACGCCGCGUGCGGGAUGACGGCCUUCGGGUUGUAAACCGCUUUCGCCUGUGACGAAGCGUGAGUGACGGUAAUGGGUAAAGAAGCACCGGCUAACUACGUG
rnacentral:rRNA from 1 species